rnacentral:rRNA from 1 species
UACGAAGGGGGCUAGCGUUUCUCGGAAUCACUGGGCGUAAAGCGCACGUAGGCGGAUUGUUAAGUCAGGGGUGAAAUCCUGGAGCUCAACUCCAGAACUGCCUUUGAUACUGGCGAUCUUGAGUCCGGGAGAGGUGAGUGGAACUGCGAGUGUAGAGGUGAAAUUCGUAGAUAUUCGCAAGAACACCAGUGGCGAAGGCGGCUCACUGGCCCGGUACUGACGCUGAGGUGCGAAAGCGUGGGGAGCAAACAGG